AGCUCCAAUAGCGUAUAUUAAAGUUGUUGCAGUUAAAAAGCUCGUAGUUGGAUUUCGGAACGGGCCAGUCGGUCUGCCGCGAGGUUUGUUACUGACUGGUCUGCUCUUCUUCGCAAGGACUGCGUGUGCUCUUCACUGAGUGUGCGUAGGACUUACGACGUUUACUUUGAAAAAAUUAGAGUGUUCAAAGCAGGCUAUCGCUUGAAUACAUGAGCAUGGAAUAAUGGAAUAGGACUUUGGUUCUAUUUUGUUGGUUUCUAGGACCGAAGUAAUGAUUAAGAGGGACAAUUGGGGGCAUCCGUAUUUCGUUGUCAGAGGUGAAAUUCUUGGAUUUACGAAAGACGAACAACUGCGAAAGCACUUGCCAAGAGUGUUUUCA
rnacentral:rRNA from 1 species